rnacentral:rRNA from 1 species
GGGGAUCUGCCCGAUAGAGGGGGAUAACCACUGGAAACGGUGGCUAAUACCGCAUAACGUCGCAAGACCAAAGAGGGGGACCUUAGGACCUCUCACUAUCGGAUGAACCCAGAUGGGAUUAGCUAGUAGGCGGGGUAACGGCCCACCUAGGCGACGAUCCCUAGCUGGUCUGAGAGGAUGACCAGCCACACUGGAACUGAGACACGGUCCAGACUCCUACGGGAGGCAGCAGUGGGGAAUAUUGCACAAUGGGCGCAAGCCUGAUGCAGCCAUGCCGCGUGUAUGAAGAAGGCCUUCGGGUUGUAAAGUACUUUCAGCGGGGAGGAAGGCGAUGUGGUUAAUAACCGCGUCGAUUGACGUUACCCGCAGAAGAAGCACCGGCUAACUCCGUGCCAGCAGCCGCGGUAAUACGGAGGGUGCAAGCGUUAAUCGGAAUUACUGGGCGUAAAGCGCACGCAGGCGGUCUGUUAAGUCAGAUGUGAAAUCCCCGGGCUUAACCUGGGAACUGCAUUUGAAACUGGCAGGCUUGAGUCUCGUAGAGGGGGGUAGAAUUCCAGGU